GGGGAAUAUCCAUAUACUAUAACUGAGAUAUAUAAAAGCUAAAGAGUUUAAUAUAAAGUAGAUAUUAACUCCAUACUAAGAUAAAUCUAACUCUGUCUAAAAAAAGCCUAAAUGUUGGGACAAGACUAAGCUAAGUCUAGCAAAACUGAAACAAAAGGACUAAAAAUACUGAAAAGAAACUCAUGGCUAUUAUCCUCAGAGAAUGAGGACCUACCACUGAUUCUGCUGAAUUAAAGACCGAGAACCGAUUUAAGCGUUACAUGGAUGUUUAAAACCUGAACCUACAUCACGAGAAGUUGUAGCACGUAUGCGUCAGUAAUUGAAAGUUACUGGGCAUGUAUGAUAUAGUAAAGUUGAAAUAACAUAUAACUGAACAAAGAAAUAAAAUAAUGAAAUAGUUUGAAGAUGAUAAAGAUGUUGAAAUACUGAACAUGACUAAUCUUAAUGCAAUGACGUUAUAACAUGUUGUGACUGAAAUACUGAAACAUGGUCAAUGUAAUGGAGUGUAACUAAACUGCAGAGCUGCUAAUUAUCAAUGAUAGAAUCACAUGACCUAAAUAUGGAGUCUGAUGUAAAUGCCUUAUCCCGAAGACCCAAUAUAUUAUGCAAGAGGUAUAGAGGAAUGAUGAAGUCAUCACUAAAAUGAUGCCCACAAAGGGGACUUACAAUCUACGCGGCUAGUAGCUCUGGAACUAUUUGGAUACGGUGAACCCUAGUCCAACUUUGUCUUUUGCUACUUCCAAUGAAUUAAGUAGUCAAAUAAUUAUUGCUGAGUUUUUGUAAAUACUGAUUAUCUCAAAAUUGAACAUGCAAACUGAGAAUGCAAUAAUUAAUCUGAUAAUCAUGCAUUCAAAUAUUGAGGCAUGUACAUUUUUAAAUCAUUUAAAUAUAUGACCUAUAAUGUGUAAUUAAAAAACAAAAGAAAUACAUAUCUAGGUUUAUGAAAUUCAAGCAAUAAAUGGAGUAAUAAUAUGGUAAUCUUAUUUUGGAACAUAUAAUUAACUAAUUCAUGAUCAUUUGGUGAAAUUCUAGAAAUCAUAGGUUUAAUCAUGAUAAGGGAAUCAAGAACACAAGUAAAAUCUAGGGACCCAAUUGGGGUAAGGAACCCACUAUUGAAAUAUCACAUACCUGGUGACGAAUUCCAAUGAGAAAUUCUUAGAUUUCGGGCAUGAACUAAUGGAGUCUUGUUGCGUUAUUUAACUAGGGCUCUUGACCUUUUUUUCUUAUCUUGCUUCUAAUUUUCUAUGUUUUAAUUAAUGACUUGACUUACUUAAGUUCUAGUCACAUUUCUAGGUUUAAACUAACUAAAAACAGACGAUUUAGGAUCUAAACGACGUAGAUUACCUAAACACAAGUCACAAAUAUAAAAUACGGGUACAUCUACCACCCAACCGAACCUCUAGAACAAAAAUCUGCAAAAAUUAAGUCUCAACCUAUUAGUUCGUUGUUUACAUUGUACAUUGUUCCAUAACAAUAUUCUAGAAACUACAAAUAAACAACUCACGAGAUCUAUUUCACAAAUAAUACUUUCAAAGAAAGGCAUUCACAAUUGAUAUAGAUAUGCAAUGCAAUGAAAUACAAUUCCUAGUAUAGUGAUUCAUGUCCUAACCUAAACAGCCUAAAAAUGAACUAGGAAAAACUAGAGAUUCAAAUGAGUUUCUUGAGUUAUUAAAUUUCUAUUUAAUUAUCAAUACUAUCCAAGGGGAGAUUGGAGGUUUUGAAGUUAAACAUCAAUGAACGACCAAGAUGUUUUGAAACUAGUAUUGUAUGUAAUAGUGUGCUCUUGCAUAUUUUAUGUCUUUUGGUGUGUCGUUUAUCAUCUAAAAUUAUGGGAGGUGACCCUAGUGCAUAGAAUCUCAUGUGUAGGGGGUUCAAAUUCAAGGAAUGACUCUCCAAGAACACAUUUAGGGUUCCUUGAGGAGGACCCUAAAGUCAACCCUCAAAGCUGCAAAAAUGGGGUGACAUACGACCAGUAGCUCAUCUGAUGAAGCGUCAACCCCUCUGUAGGUAAAUAAUUAUCCUAUAUAUCUUUAGAUGCCAUGUCCAUGCCUCAUAAAAGUUUGAAAACCUGCAGGACGGUCCGUCACAUCACCUAUGGUCUGUAGGUGGUAGCUGUUUAUCAGGCCAACAAUUCUCUCUUGUCACAGCCAAGUAAGGGGUGAAUUAGUAAAAUCACCCUAUGUUCCAAUUAAUCCACUAACGGUUAAUUUUUAGUGUUUUUAGGUAUUUUAAUUUUAUUAAAUAAAUUAAAUCCUCACUUAGACUCGAUCACCAAAAUAAAACUCUUCCCUCUCAAAUAUAUUCUCUCAAAAACACCAUUGAAGGUCUAGGUCAGAUUCAACCUAGGAGAAGGGAUUUCAAGUGUUUUAUUCAUCUAUUUUUCUGUGUUUUCUACCAAUAAGUUGUGGUGAUACUUCUUCUUGAAUAAUCUCUCAUUCAAGAAGUCCAAUUCCAAUGUUUUUAGAAGUGAAUUAAUGAUGAAUUUCCUAAUUUCUACUCUAUGCAUGAGUUCAUUGUUAAAAUGUUUUCUAAGUCAUGAUAUUGAUAUAUUAAUUUUAAAUCAAUGUUUUUAAUAUGAUUAUAAUUGAAUUCCUUGAAUAAUCCAUGUUUUGUCCAAAUCUCCUAAAUUGACUUACAAAGUGGGUUUGAUGAAUGUGAUUGCAUAUUGUUACAAUUGUGUUUAUAUUAUGUUAUAUAACUUUUAUCUAUUGAUAUACAUGACUAACUAUGAUGAAUUGUUGGACAAUGGAUAAAGGGUGAUUAUGGAUUUAAUGAAGGGUAAGUUGACCUAAAUUGUUCUAGUUCUUAUUAAAUUUCCCUUGUGCGGUAUGGUCCACUUAUGAUGGUGGUGUUUAGUUGAUGUAUAUUAAUAGUAUAUGUAUUGUGGUUGUGACCUUGAAGGCACUUAAUGUGAAGUAAAUAAAUGUUAUGAUGUUUAUGUAUAAAUACGUCUUAUGAAUCUAUUAAUGUGAUUCUUGACAAUAGUAUGAUAAUUGAAGUACAAUGUUAAUGUAAAGCAUGAUUUUGUGUGGAUACUGACGAAUGUAGUAUGAUAAUGAUUAGAAGACAAUGUUAUGAAUGAUGGUGGUCAUGUGAAAGUCUUUAUUACAUAUACACACACAUGAAUGAAUGAAUGAUGCUAAUGAAAAUGUUAUGUAUGUGGGUUUAUUGAAAGGUUUUCUAAAUAGAACUCUAAUAAAUGAAAGGGUACUUUGAGGUUGAUACACUCUGUGAGUAAAGGUGUAGUGUCUUGUAAAAACCUUAAUAUUUCUAAGAGGUUUCCAAUAAAUGAAUGAUAGAUUGGGAUGAGUAUUCUUUCCUUGAGUAGAGGUAAAGUACUUAGUAGCAAUCCGGUAAACUAUAGCUAAUGAAUGUAAUGAAAGUCAAAUACUCUGCGGGGAUUAAUGCUUAGCACAAAGAGGAUUCAAAAGGGAUGGAUACUCGUUGUGAGUAGGUAUGUAGUAUUAAAAAGUAAUCUUUUAAGAUGGGUACUCCCUAUGAGUUGAGGUGUAAUACUUAGAAGAAAUCUCCCUACUCCCUUAACUAUGCCCCCACAUAGGAAUAGCUAGUGGUGUUCCACAAAAAGGCUAAAAAUGAUGCUACUAUAGACAAGUGCAGAUCCCUCAUUCGGAAGGGGUAAAUACUCGGAUUCCAUGUUAAGAUCUCAUGGUCUAUGUCGGUUAAUGCUUGCCCCCAUAAAUAAAUGUAAUGACGAGGUCUUCCUGGGAGUGUUCUAGUUAGGGUUGGUGGUAGAAUCGGACACCAUCUAUUCAUUUCAAAAGUAUGCAUUUGGAGGGAGUCUUUGUGUGUCCAUGAAUAGAAAAUAAAUGAAUGAGUUUCUAUAUGACAUUAACGAAGUAAGUUUACUUUAUGUCUAAUGUUGAAGAAGCAUGUUGGUCUUCUAUCUAAUGUUAAUGAAGAUUAUGUGUAUGGUAGAAUGUGAUAUGCCUAGUGUAGGGUUGUUCUAAGGAAGCACUAAGUGGGAGUAGUAGAAUGGUAUGCUACUUUCACAUUGCACUAGUUUAACUUAGAAUUAUCCUAAGGAAUGAUCUUUAUGUGAAGUUCUUAAAUGCACAAAUGUUUCCUCUAGUAUCUCUCGUAAUGAAUGUUGACUUGUUGAGUUGUGAUGGAAACGAAUAUCCUUAUCUUUGGUAUUCUUAAGGAACACUUAGGUGUGUAUUGAAGAGUUUGAAUGGGCGGUCUCUUUAUGUCUUAGUUUGGUAGGUCUUAGGAUAGCAUUGCAUAGAGGGUCUAAAUGGUUAAUGGGUAACUUAAUGAAUAUGGUUAUAUGCUUAGAAUUAUGAGAAGUAUUACUUUGUAUGAUGAAGAUUCACUUGUACGAUGUCUCUUACACUUUGUUCAAAAAAUUUUAUCAAAAUAGCAUGAAAAACAUACUCUUUAAAUCAUGUUUUUACGUGAUUGCCAUACUUAGUGCUUAGUUGUACUAACUCCAUAUUCUUCUAUAUUUCUACAAGUGUAGGAGGCUCAAAGUGAGGAUCUUAGAGUUGAAUCUUGGGAUUAGAUUGUUAUCUCAAGGAACUUUGUAUUUCCUCAUAUGUUCGAGGACAUGGAUGCUCUUUCUAGUUUUUUUUUCGUUAAUGAUUUUGUAUAAAGACUAUUAUAUUUCCUUCAAUGUGAGGGUUAUGACCUAUGAGAAUAAGAUGGGUCAAAUAUGACUUGUGAUGUAACAUUCUGGAAAAUUACAUUUCUAGUGAAGAGCCCAAUAGGUCUUUAAGAAUGUGUAUUGGAAGUACAUAGGCAUCCUAACUCCCAAUAUUGAGAAAUAUUUGGUAUAGUAUAGAAAAUUUGCUAAGGGUAUCAGCCAAUUUCUAUAUAAUACCCAUAUAAGUGAAAUAUUGGGCAUAUUACAAAAUAUUAGAUUAAAGGGGUGUUAGCCAAUUUCCUAACAUUAAUGAGCUUGUCCAAGAUAUGUACCUGCAAGGAAGACCCUAAGCUAAGAUUCUAUAUUCAACCAUAUCAACCAUUUCAUCACAUUAGGUAUGAGUCAUCCAAGUGCCAAGCCUAGAUAUAAUGGCACAUGAUUAAUUAAAAUGAUCAUGUAGAUUAAGCAGUGCCCAAGGACAUAGUGAGGAUGCUUGGGACAAUAAGUAAAUAUUUUCAAAUGAACCAUAAUAAUAGUUAGUUAAAAAAAUACAAGCAACCCAUGUCAAAGCACAUAGGGAGCAAUAACCAUGAGGGGACCACCCUAACCGAAUUUUGUUAGGGUAGUUAGGGAGCAGGCGUGCACAUGGGUUCACCCAUGUGGGGCAUAGGUAUCAAACUAAUUUUACACUCUAACCUACUUCCCUAACUAACUAACCUAGGAAAAGCCAAAAUAAACUAAUUAGUGCACCCGACAACCUAAGACUUAAAUUGGGUGACACCAACCUAGUAACUAGUUAAAGACACAACCUAGUACCUAACCUAGGAUUGUUCAAGGAGUUGGUUGUGGUCCUAAAAACGUAGGUAUACUUUAAUAAUUACCCUACGUUACUUAGUUACUUAAUUUAGCAGAUUGAUUAAAUAAUUUAAAAUGGGCAAAACCUAAAUUACAAAGAAAUUUCGAGGUUUUGCUAAGACAAGAAAAAGACAACCUAGUACCUAACUUAGGAUGGUCCAAAAGGUUAGUUAUGGUUAUAAUGACUUAAGGGUACUUGAUUAAUUAACCUAGGGAUAUUUAUUAAUUAAAUUAGCCAUUUAAUUAAUUAAAUUAAUGGAGUCAAACAAAAAUUCUUACCCAAACCUAGUAUAACUCAAGAAAUAUCCUAGUACUUAACCUAGAAUAGUCGAAAAGGGUUAGUUAUGGUCCAAUGACAUAGGGGUACUUUAGUAAAUACCCUAGGUCCCUUAAUUAAAUAAAUUAACCAUUGAAUUAAUUAACAUAAAGGGGUCAAAACGAAAUUCUUAGGAAAAAGUUUAGAUUUAAGUGUUGUGUUUUCCUAGUUCUAGUCAAUCUAGGAAGGGCUUUUAAGUAAUUUAAAUAAUUUAUUUAUUUAAUUAACUUAUUAAGAAUUAGUUGAAUGAUUCAAGAUCAGUUCCUAAACCUAAAACUCACGAUCAAAACAUUCAAAGAACACAACGAUAAAACAAAUGAAAGAAAGAGGCAGAAAUUUCAUAGACCUUCUCGCCUAUUUCAAGGUUUCUCAAACUUUUCGUUGAAGGUGGUCUUUAUAGAUUAAGCUCUACUUACGGCAAGGGUUUUCUCUCAUGUAAUUCUUUCUCCAAGAGGCUUUUCAAACAUUUUACACUCAUGAAUUUUAAACUAGGGUUAUUUCCCAAUGAUAUUGUUGAACGUCCAUCUCCCUAGUUAUCUUUGUUUUCGAUUCUUUAAGUAUAUAUAUGUAAUAUUUAACAUAUUGUAUGCAUGUGGGGCUAUGUGAUUUUAGAAGUUAUUUAUUCUUUAUUAUUAAUGAGGUCUAUAGAUUGGAUUUGAAUGAUUGAGUUAUUACUUACACGUAUUAAGGAAUGACAUAAUGCGUAAUUUUCUGUUCGAGAAAGAUGAAGUUGUUAUGAGUUUUUUAUGAAGUUGAGUCUACUGUUAUAGGCUGUUCAUUGAAUUAUAAUUACAAGUUAAUUGAAUUUAAAAAGGUUGUUUUACAACAAAUGAAGUUUAAAUGACCAUCAUAUGUGAAAGUUUGGUUUAUGCCUACAAAUUGGCCUAGCAAAAGUAUGUCCAAAAUAUUAUCUCCCAAAAUGUGUGUAGUUAUACUAAUCUUAAUUCAAAAGGUGAAAAGUGAUACCAAUGUCUACAUCAAUGAACUCAGAACAUAGUGUAUGUCAAUCAAUGGGAGAAGUCCCAACAUACCUUAUCCACACGAACUUGUGAACGUAAAAGCAUUGAAUAAGUAGUUAUAACUUUCAUAAAGAAUAAAAUCUAGUUCAUGAAUCUAUAAUGCCAAAACAACUUCAUAGAUUGUCCAAACAAAGCAUUGAAUUAUUCUUGUGAGUUAACCAAAUAUUGACAGUUAAGUUAGUGAAAGUUUGUCUUAUGCCAAUAAAUUUGCCUACAACAUUAUUUCAAAAAUAUGUAAUAGACUUGGCUAAUGAUUCCAUGAAAUUAUACUUGAAUGAAUUGCCUGGCUUAUGCUAAUAAAUUGGCUAACAAUACAUUGUCUAAGAGUGAUGAAUGGAAUUGGCUAUAAUGUUAUCUUUAAACAAUUAAAAGAUUGGCUAAUGGAUAAGGUAUUCCAAACUAAACAGGAAUGAGUGUAACUUUGGCUUGUGCCAAUAAAUUGGUUAUGAAAUCAGUUUUCAAAUUUUCUAGGCCAAUGCUAAAUUUGUGCCAAUCAUAUAUAGAUAAAGUAUUGAAAUGACAAUAUAAGAACAUCUAAGGUAAUUCAGUUAAUCCAUAUCCAAAGGCAUGACAAUCAUUGGGACAAGUCCCAACAUUCCCUAACUAAAUUAACUAUGAACAUAUGUAAUUUAUUGAGUUAAGUUCUCAUCGUCCAUAAACGAUGUAUGAAGCUAUCAAACAAAAGUAAGCAAGUAACGUGAGUAAUAACAUAACCAAAGAUGUCUAUGUUAAGAAAGUGACCAGAACGAGGUGUUAAAAGAAGUGAGACAAGACUUACUUACACCUAACCUACUAUGUUAAAAAUACUCACGAAUGAAGGUGUUAGAACGUGUGAGACAAGUCUCAUUAACACCAAAGAUGCUAUAUAAGGAUAAUUCACAUUUCAUCAAUGUAAAGAAAAGGAAGACAAGUCAUCAAUAGAGUAAGUAAAGCUCAAUCUUGCAGCAAGCUUCCAGAAUGUUUGAGUCAACUCCAAAAUAUAAGAAGAUAAUGGAAGUGAGGAAAUGAUCAAUGGACUGGUUAUGAUCACGUGCUUGCACGUGUAAGUCUCAUGAGACGAGGCUACCAUCGAGGUGGAUAAGUAGUCUCUUUACGUCCCUAGUCGUCGAACUAUGUCUAGCCAAAUAGUAACUAGCCUGGGGUUUCCACCUAAGAGAGAUAGGUAUGUUUCUAUCCACCUUUACCAAUGAGAUCACCUCUUUUCGGUGUAGGGUAGACACAGGAUUUCAAGUUUAUUCAACUUGAUUUAUGUCAGUUAAUUCUCAAAAAGAUGUUCUUGGUUCAUUAUAUCCGUGAGCCACCCCUUUCGGUGUGGGGUAAACACUUGAGAUGGAUUCGCUUUAGCUGGGUAUCACCCCUUUUCGCUAUGGGGCAAACACUGGAUUUCAUGAGUACCUCACAUAUUCUAGAAUCAUUUUAACCGGUAAAUAACCUUUUUUUUGUGUAGGGAAGAUACUGGAUUUCAUGUUAGCUUGCAUGAUCUUACAUUUAAAGAUGUCUCAAAGAAAGCAAGAAAGAAAGAUGAUGGAAUGUAUGUAGUGAGUUAUGAAAGUAAAAGUUUAAGAAUGUCAAUUGCCAAUAUCAAUACCAAUGAAAUUUCUGCAAAUAAUGGGCAAAGCCAAAUAAGAUUGGCUUAUAAUGACUUCUUAUAUGAUGCCAAUAAAGGGUAGUAUAAACAUAAUAGAAUAUCAAAGAUUCAUAACUUCCCUAACAUAAAGAUGAUGAAAUAAGUGGCAUAGCCAAUCAAGACUGGCUUAUGAAGUGUAAAAGAAUAUAUAAUGUAAUAAAUGACUCAUUGUAAGGAUACUGUAAUCAUUACUUAGUCCUUGGAUUACUUACUUGAUUCAUUGUGGGGAUGGGACUACAAUGAAUCAUUGCACUUUUAAGUAAAACAUAGGACCAAAGUAAUUAUUGAACAACACAAUAAGAAGAAGAAAAAGACUGAAAAAAAUAAAGUCUAGAAAUAAGAGCUCUCGGGUUUGGCUUGCUUAAAUUUUCACAUCUUCGCCUGAGUUUUUCUUAAAAUAUGUUGAUGAUUCUAAUGUCUUGUAGUCACAUAGAAAAUGAGUUGUGUUCUUUUAAUGAAUUAUAAUACAUCAUAUUCAUACCACAAUUCAUAACUAACGAAUUAGAAUAGUCUAGUGACUAUACUUUCCAGAAAUAGUAUGUUGUUUAGGAAGAGCAUUCCUUGAUUAUGCAUAGCCUUAUGUGUAUUUGUGCGUACACCCAUACUUAGUACAGGUGGUGCACUAACCCUAUCCAAUUUACUAUUUUUAUAGGUGUAGGUUAGAGAGCAAAUUGAAGAUUCAUUGCAGCGGUUUGGACAUCAACGUUCUCCAGACAAUUUGGUAGGUCUUAUUGAUUUUGAGGAUGCUACAGUUUUAGUCUAGCUUAAUUGUAGGCAUAACUAGUGGAUGUUGUCCCUAAAAUUUAUUUCAGACAGUUUCUUUUCGAAGCUUUUGUAAUAAGUCCGUGUUUGGCAAACAUUUUUAUGAUAUAUUGAUUCUCAAUUUGAAUUGAUACUUUAUGAUAGAUGGUUUUUUCAUUCCUUUAAUCUUAGUAAAUGAUGAAACUAGUUAAUAAUUAUAUGAAGUCUAUGUAUACUUCAUACGUUUAAAAAGUUUAUAUUUUCUGCAAAUUUAACUAUAUGAAGCUGAUGAAUACAAGAAGAAGCUUGUCUGCGACCUCUUAGAGAUCAACGAUGCCGGUCACACUCGGAUUCUAGAAUCUGGAUCGGGACAUGUGAUGAGACUUAGUUCUUGUUAUGUUUUAUAAAAGAGUUUCCUUAUUGACUUUAUUGUUAUAAGUUUCAAUUCCUCACUACUUUUCAUACCUUUGUGAUGAAUGAAUGCUAAGAUACUUGUAUAAGACCUCAGAGAGGUCAAGUACGCCGCGUCACAACAUGGAGGUGCUCUUGGGUCAUGAUUAUGAUACACGCCAACUGUAUUUUAUUCCUGGAAACAUUUGAGUGACCUAUCUUUCUGUGCAUCCGCGGUUUGCGGUGUUACCCGCUAUAAUAAAAUAUGACCUGGUGUGUGACACACUCCAAGAUAAUAGAAUCAGUCAAAGUGUUAGACACAUCCCUUGAACCAUAAAUUCUGACGCACGAAGCAUCCUUAAAUCAUAAUCUUUCAUAGCGCAUGACACGUCCCUCAAAAUGGUACAUGCUCUUUAAUUUCAGAUUAUUCCCAAAUUUACAUAAUAUUUGUAUAAACCAUGUCUCAGAAUUAAUUCAAAUGAGAUGUUCAAACAAAUAAUGGGGAGAUGACUAUUCCUAUAACAAUGCAGAUUUCACAUUAACAUAAUCAUGAUACAAUAUCACUAGUUAAUCAAUAAUUCUUUUAAAUCAUUCUCAAUACAUCAUGCACCAAUAACUAAUUAUAUUGCGUUAAAUUACCCUUUUUCAUCAUUAUAAUUAUAUAAUAUGGACAAGUCAAUUGUAACCAAGUCUCAAUACUACCUAACAAAUACUGAUGAGUCUAAGAUUUAGACAUAUUUAGGGAUUUGUUUUGAUAGUUUUAGUAUCCUCAAAUGCGGAACUUAUGCUAUAAAGGGAUGUUAGAACUUUGAUUCAUAUGUACGUAGGCUAAGGAAAAAGGGAAGGACACUAUCAAGAAAAAAAGAGCAAAAAAGCUGAAGAAGUGAAUAAAAUCGAUUCUGAUGAUCUCCAAGACCCCUCGUAAACCUCCCAGUGGCUCUUUAGACCGCCUAAAGUUCUAUAAUUCCACCCCUGGGGAAGAACCACCUUUUGCAAAAGAAUUGGGUAGUCAGUAAAUCUCCUAACGACUCCAUGAUGGCAACCUUGAUCGCCUUAACUCUGAUAACCCUAUGGGCAAACGACCAAUACAAACCAACAAUGGAUUGGAGAAAAAGAUGGAUCGUCGUCUUGUUCGGUGAGGCCCAACUUAUUUUGCACAAUGACUUCAUUUGAUGAAGUUGGGUGCCGAUAAAUUUGAAUUUUAAAUGAAAUUUUAGAAACUAUUUAAAUUUCUUAUUCCCUGAGUCCUAGAUUUAAAGUUUUCUCUUAGUUUUAAUGUUCCAUUGUAUACUUUAAAGAUUUUUAGGUUAAAACUUGAAGAUUUGCAAAUGGGUUUCUGAAUUUACUCUAUUUGGACGGUUGUAAAAAGUAAUGAACCUUUUCCUAGAUUAUGGAUAAUGUAUUUGGUAAUCUUUUCUCUAUUUUUAUGAUGUGUAAGUAAAACCCCAUUUCUCGAGGUGUGAUCAUGUGUUUAUUUGUGUAAUUUAUAUUUUGAGUAUUGUUGCUUUAUGAUAAAAAUGUUUUUUCAGUGUGGGUUUAAUUAUUAUUUGUUUUUUAAUCAUUUGAUUUUAGAUGCAAAUGAAAUUUUAGUUUAUAGUCCCUGAAUUACUUGAGAGAGAGGUUUUGGAACCAAAUAUUUUGAUUAAUGUUUGUAGGUAUUGGAUUGAUAUGGGUUCCAGCUCAAGAGAAUGAAUUCUAAAUUCAAUUUUACCUAUCUAGCUCGAGAGAGUGAAAGUUGUUGGUGGUUUAUCUCGUUAAGCUUGUCGAUGUUCGAGGGAAACUGCUUGAAUCAUAAUAGUUAUUCGAGAGAAAGCCAUUUCACUUAUAGACGAGCCUAACAAGAAUAAUUCAGCUUUAUUAUAAUAUUACAAUUACCCAAAUAUAUCCAUUAGCAUUUUAUCAGUUACAUCACAAGUAUUUUUCUUAAUACUGUUGUAAAUCAAAACCCAUUAUGUAACAUUCGGUGUGAUCCCUUCGACUUUUUUGUAUGUUUUUGAGAAUUUAUGUUCCUAUAACAAUUUAACAAACUUUACGACUUCAUAACUGAAUUUUAAAAAUGUAUGAUUGCUUAUCUAUUCGACCCCAACUCAUUAUUAGGUUUUAUACUAGAUAAUGAUCAUCUACUCCGAGAAUCCAAUGAGUGGUACUUGAGACUUUAUAUCAAAAUGGCAUCAUUGUUGAGGAGUGGUGUUGUAUAAAGUUUUAUUAUUUAAAGUGAAUUAUGAUUUUUUUGUUUGUAGUUGAAUAAACUUACUUUGGUUUGGGUUUCUAUUUCUUGUUUUGUUAGAGCAGGGGAUGAUCGUGAACGGGAGUAUUGGUAUGUAUCAAAGUGGGCACCAAUACAAUAUAUACUGGGAAUCUUAAUGAUGUGAAUUACCAAAUCCAAUUGGGUGGUGUUGGUGCAAUUCUUCUACCUCCUAUUGAAAGAAUAUUGUCUUCCAUGUUACGAGCACAAUAUCACGACUCUCCAAAUGAAUGGGUUAUAUGGAGGUCCGAACAAAUAUGACCCCGAUAACCAUAUUCGGAAAUUUAUGAAUGUUUAUGGCCUACUCUCAUUCAAGAACGUAUCACAAGAAUUGGUUUAUCACAGGUAGUCUCCAGUUUCUUUGAUGUGUGAGGCUACCAAAUGGUUAUUGAGUGACUGAGGGAUUCCAUCAUCAAAUUUGUUGGUUUGUGUUUAAAAUGUGUUUUAUUCUAGUGAGGUGAAGUGUGAGUAACCCCCAAUUGCGCUAAAAGUCAUAUUUUGCGAAUGAUGGAACGAUUGACGUCAUUAUUAAGGGAAAAACAUGCCACUUGGCCAAUUUUAGCCAAAUCGAGAGAAGUUUGAGUAUCCUGAAUGACUGGAUACUAUGUGUCUUGCCUUAUUUCAUAAUAUAGGUGUUUAAUAUUAUUUUCUUAGUCUACGAGCUUGAUUUUGAAGUAGGGGGUGAAAACUUGUUUGUUAAGCCAUUUGGCGAGCUGAGUCAACCUUAUCGAAGGGCUUGUCAGUUCUUAUACAUUUCCUUUGAUUGCCUUAAAUUUCUCUGAACAUUGAGCUUUAUUUUGUAACUUUCGGAAAAAUGCUUGUGUUUGUUGAGUUCACUCGGUGACUCGCUGAAAGUACUCAUGAUCGCCUUUCUAUACCCAUUAUUCCUUAAAAAAGACUUAAAAUUUUUGAGAUCUACUAUUAGGUCGCAUAUUGGUUUUGGCGAUAUGUUGAAUGGUCGUGAACAUCACCGGCCAUCUUAAAAUUUUUGAAAUUAAUUAUCUAGACCUUUGGGCAAUCUCGACCUAGCUUGCCAAAGUAAUUCAAAGACUUUCGGACCUAUUUAAAAAGUCGUCAUGUAGUUAUUUUAAUGUUUUUCUUGAUCUUUUUUUAUCAUUAGCUACAUUGGUUUCCAGGAAUGGCUAGACCUAAAUUUUGAGAUGGAGACUUGACAUCCUUGAAGCAUGCACUAGUAGUGGUUAUAAAUGAGGAUAAAAAUCCAUCUAAACCAAAGGCAAUGAAAACACCUCUAACGGGAGGAAGGGGCAAGGUAAAGGUGCCCUUAGUAGUACAUCUACAAAAGUCUAGUUCAAACACUUGGGAGGGGUGAGGUCUACAAUACACCCCUCACAUCAUCAUCAGUGAGAGGGAAUCAUAAGAUUCCCAGGCUUCCAUCAUUGAUAUAGAGUAUGACUACUUAUUACAGGAUCGAAGAGCAGAAAAUCACUCCAAGGAGAUGAAUAAUACAUAUAGAAUCCUGGUGCCUCCGAGUCUUAACCCUCCAGCUUCGGCUAGUAUCUCCUCUAAAGAAGAUAGUGGUCUCAUCACCAUUAUUAUAGGUUCCUCCUACCUGGUCACUCAACCAACUAAAGGUCGAGACUUUGAGGACUAUUCUUAAGUGAAGAUAUUGUCCAUAAAUGGUGUGGCAGACAAUAUCUAACGGUUUUGGACACCCUCAGAUUCUACAGAUUUGAGGUAUUCACAAAACAUUGUGGCCAAUACAUUUUUACUUGGGUCCGGGAGUUCUAUUCAGCUUACGGUAAUUUUAUGCCUCUAAGGAAAAAUAAAGAUAUUACCUUCAACCCGGUGUACUUUGUGGUGAUUUUAUGAAUGAAGGUUAAAUGUAGUAGUGUUGAAAUAAAUUGUGUUUGGGUGCUCUCCUGACUUCAUGAUUGACUGUCAAAGUAUUAUAAAGACAGAGACUCCAUAUGACCUAAAAGGUUGGUUGUUGCCCCUUCUCUCCGAAAUCACCACGAGGUGGAUUGGAGCUAGAGCACCGAUAGAGAAAAAAUAUCUUAAUAUGGAAGCUAGUCAUUAGUUUAGGUUUAUCACAAACAUUAUCAUGCCGUCCAAGAAUGAGUCUAUCCUUCGCCACCUAAAGAAGGCAAGUCUUGGGUCAAUCAUUGCAAGGAAAAGGCUGGAUUUUGGUUUGAUAUUCGAGUAGGAGAUGGUCAGAACACAAAAAACAUUAGACAUUGCUUCAAUUUCCUGUAUUGACCAUCAAGUUAUGUCGAUGGGUUCAUGUUUCGAGCAAUGAGCAAAAGGAUAUCGAGGUUACACUAACCUCUUCUACAAAUAUCAAACAUAUAAAGGUUGAGUACAUGCGUGAUGAGGUUGAAAGCAGAAGGGCAACCCCAUUGGACACAUUCACUGAGGUUGAUGUUGAUAUGCUACCUACUGACAAAAUCAUGUCUACUCAGGACAAUGGGCCUUCAGGUAUAUUUUCUCCUUUGCCUUCUCAUAGUCCGGACACUUCAGUUGCACCUCUUCGCUCUAGAUCUUCGUGUGCUACUUGUAUGUCCUGGACCCUAUCAUCGAAACCAUUCCUACAAAGUGGUCAAUUUAUCUAAAUCUACUUAUUUGCAUGCCCCUAGGUAGAGGCUCCAAUGACUGGGAUGAUAGAUAGGGUGAUAGUUUCUAUAUUAGCCACAAUUGGGGAAGAUAUGAGGGAUCACUGGUUGAAACUAAAUUCCCUUACUAUCAGAGUCGCACCUCGUGAGAAGAAUCAUGGUGCUUCAGAUCAGGUGACAGCCUUGAUAGCUAAUAUUAAUAAUCUAAGGAAGGAUCUAGACUAUCUGAAGUCCAAUAAUUUCAGUUCACUUUUAGGGACCGCCAAGAUUCUAGACAUGCCAAGUGCAGAUGUUCCAGCUUAUUCUUAUGUGCCUCUGGCUAUAAGAUGAGGUUAGAGACAAUGUUGUUGCUACGGUGUCCUAGUCUGAUACUAAUGAGCAACAACUUGGUGUUCGUAAAGAGACCGUCUACGAUGAUUUGAUUGACUUUGCGGUUAAAAUGUUCAAGACUUCUAGGAAGGCAUCUCCCAGGAUACUUCUAUGAUAGUCUCAAGUAGAGCAAAAGAUGAUCAGACACCGGAUUCUGAUGCCCACAUAGAGAGUGUCCUGAUAGAUGAUAUACUAGGGAUUGAUGCCCAGGCAGAGUGAGAUGUGGCCGUACAGACUUCAACCCUCGUUUAGCGUGGCGGAAUAAAUUCUUUUUGCCUCUUCUCUAUUACUCUUUCCUUGCUUUUGGUUUUAGUUGCAUUUGAGAACAAUUGUUUAUUUUUUUUUGGAGGGGGGGUUGUGAACAUGUGCAUAAUUUUCUAAUUGUUUUUUAAAUAUUGGAUAAAAAACUAUGCUUUCCAUUAGCUUUGGUAACAAUCAAUAAGUAUUCAAUAUGCUCAAAUCGAACUAAAAAUUGAAUAAAGCCUAAGUAUCUACUCAAAAAGUCAAAUAACAAUGUUUGGAAUGUUAUGGAUUAAAAAACAAAGAACUGGACAAUGUGGGGACUGUUAAAAACUGUUAUUAAAUAUGCAUUUAUAUGUUCUAUGAAUAAAAGCUUCAGUUUCCUAGUCGGUGAUGCAUCGAGUAAUUCAUUCUCUCACCUUCUUGGCUUGGAUUUUCACCCCUUCUCUUCGGUAACUUUAGGUGAUCAAUGUCAUUGUAACCGAUACAUUUGGUGUGUUUCACGACCCAAGGGAACCCCCUAGAUGUAAUAAGUUGUACAAGACCUCGAAAGGCCUCAUACAAGCCAUGUAGCUUUCAUAACAUACAAUAAUAGAAAUGAGCAGAAAUUUAAAAUAUUCCACAACUUCAAGGUUCCAUAACAAAAUUUAAAGCCUAUUACACUUUGACUUAACACAAUGUAAUACAUGAAUAUCCUGGAAAAAAACCAAUAAAAAAUGUUCAAAACGUAAAACAAAAGAGCAUAAGAGAGAUGGUGACCAUAUCUUCGAAGGAUAUGAGGACUCACUAAUCUUCAAGGCUUUCCUCAACCUAGAAACUAGCCAUGGGGUUAAGAAUCAUGAUUUCUAGACCUUACAAUUAGAUUAUAUAUAAAUAAAAGGAUGCAAUAGUACCAAAAUGUACUAAAUAUGGUAGCUUGUAUAAACGCCAACGAGAGCAUAGAGUUUAACAACAUAAUUCAUAAACCAUGAUCAAAGCAAGUUAAUAUCAUCUUUAGACAUACUUAUGAUACAUUCUUGAAGUGACAUGUUUCAUUAUAACUAUAGACUACCAUGAAAAGGUAUUAUCUCCUUAACAAUCCAUACUACCAUGAAGAUAUAUCAUAUCCAUACCAAUUCAAGCUUUCUUGAACAAGUAUGAUCUUCGUACCAAUUCAAGAUACCAUGAAGAGGUAUUAUCUCCUUACAAAAUAAAGGUACCACGAAGAGGUAUCACAUUAAUAAUCCAAGCUAUCCAUGAAAACUAAUCCAAGAUAUUCGUGGAAAUUAAUUACAUUACCAAUUCAAGCUAUCCAUGGAAAGGUAUUACAUUACCAAUCCAAGCUUCAUCUUAUCAUCACAAUCCAUAAGUUCUUAGAUUCAGUUAAGAUGAGCAAGUCAUUCUACCUAGAAUCCGUGUGAGAAAACCAUUCACAUUCAUACAUAAAAAAAUUGUAUGAGUAUAAUUCCUUCCAUAACAACUACAUCUAAAUCAUCAAUUAAUGAUAGAAUCUUCAAUCUUAAUCCCUACAUAUCGUACAAAUCAUAUAAGUUUUACUCUCAAGAAAUCAACACCAUAUCACCUUGUAAGCAUGGAUCUAAAAGAAAUUCUAACCAUAAUUCCUCAAUUAUAUAAGGAUAAAUCUAUACUCUCAAUUUAUCCUUUCAUUGAUUAACCCAACUAUAUGAUUUCAUCUUCCUAUACAUGGGUAAGGCCUAGGUACACGUAUAUUCUUCCUAAAACAAGUAAUCCUAUCAAUACAAUCAUAACAAAAUCAAUUAGAUCAAUAUUAAUAGAUACCCACAACUACAGAAGAAUACCCUAACUUAAAUUAGAGAAGUUCUACCUUUCAAUUGGAGAAUAUAGGGAAUUCAUGGAAGAAAGGAUUCCAAGGAUGAGAAGUUCUCAUACCUUGAUAUCAAAUCCCAAAACAUUCUUGAGGAAGUGAUACUUGACCUUGAUCCUAGCUCCAACUCUUUCUUAUUCUUCAUGUUUUAGUAAGAGAAGUAUUUGAGACAAAGGCUUUAGGAUCUAUUUCGAGUUUAUGAAAUAAUGACUUGAGUGGGUGAGUUUAGGUUUAGAAUCACUUACAUAUGUGUUCUAGGCUUGAGUGAAAAUACAUAUCUUUUAUUUAAUUAAAACUACAAAAGACCCAAAAACCCGCUAACUUAAUAUGUCAAACCAUCACCAUGAAAGGCACCAGGGAUUGUCCAUAUACUGGUUUAAUAUUCCGUUGACCACUAACUUGGUUUGUCACCCCUCUUCCCUAAGAAGUAAAACUGAAAACCACAACCACUCUCAGGGUCCGGUGGUAGCCUUUAAAAGUAGUCAUGUGGCUCGUGAGGAAGGGUUUCAGCUUGGGCUAGCUACUGCCUAGCUCACCACACCCAUCAACACGGAUCGUUGUCCCCACCACGAGGUGUCAUCAUGUUCAUGGGAGGUGAUAAUGAUUUCUCUAGGGCUGCCCAAGCUCCUUUCCUUGGUUUUUGCUCUCUCACAUAGCCCUAGCUUAGAAUAUUAGAUUUUGAGGUGUUACAUCCUGAUGUACCGUGAUUUAUCGGUACUAUUGAUGCAUUACACCUACGAUUUGUGAGUGUCAAAGGCCGUUUUAUGUUAGUUUUAUGUGUUUUUUAUCAUUUAUGGAUAGAAAAUUAGGUAUGGAGUUUUGAUGAUAAAGCUGAGGCAAGUAAUGAAAUUUACACCUACGGACCGUAGGAUGAAUCACACUAUGUAGGUAGAGGUUGUAGAAGGAAAAAACAUGGAACUGUUGAAGUUGAGGGAAAUUUUUUCAAAAUGUGGAACUAAGAUUGCGACUAACAGACCAUAAAAUGACCUAUGGAUCAUACCGCAGAUCUAUUGAAGGGAUCAUAGAAGUGAUUCCAGUAUCUGAAGCGAAAAUAAUCUAUGUAUGGAGAGAAGGAGUGGAGCUACACACUAUUUUCUCAAUGAUGGUCUGUACGGUUGGAUCAUAGAAGCUGACUGAGAAGUUUUUACUUUUUAAGUUUUAAAAAUUGUUUAAGUCCAGAACCACAGAAUGGACUAAUGAAUAGUGACUCAACUCACAAACCAUAGGCCAGCCUCGUAGAAUGAAGAAGCUUCCUACAAUUUUAUUUCCCUUUUAAAUUUGGAGUAUUUUCUAUAUAUACGGGAUGUAAACCUCGUUUUUAGGGCUAGACAGUAUUGCUCUUUACAGUAACUGGAUUUGGAGAUUUACUUUGAAACUCUAGCAAGUUAUUGAUUUCUUAUGUUUUUUUUUAGAUUUUAGUUUGCAAUUCAAGAGGAUUUUCGGGGUUUAUCAUUAUUUUUACGUAAGUUAAGUAUUUCUUCAUCUAUAAACAUGAAUUGUGAUAUUACAUAUAUGGGUAACUAAAUCCAUUACUAGGGUUAUGGGAACCAUGAGUGAUUAACAAAGAAUGAAGAGUAACUAAUCAAUCUUCAAAUAUGUUUUGUAUGCACUGAUAAUUAUUUCAUUUAGAAGUCUUUUUAACGAAUGCAUGUGUUAAAAAUCGCCUUCUACCUACUUUCUGGACGAAAGAUGUAGUUAAUAAGAAAAGAGUUAUCAACAUAGAUUUAGUGUGAACUAUCCAAUAGUGUAGUGUUAAUUUGUGUGAGGGUGAAAACAAAGCCAUAUAUUGAUGCGAUGUGUAAUGUGACUUAAAGAUAAUGGUUAGUAAUUUAUACACGUGUAGGGACCAAGGUGCGAGCUAAAUUCUCUAGCCGUCAGACCAAGGAUUUAGAGAUACAUAAGUUAUCACUUUGCAUGUAAUACAUUAGGAAUCCAUUGCAAUUAUUAGAAUUACCGCGUUAUGAGCUUGUGCGGAACACAUGUUAUUAUCUCAUCUUGAUAACAAUCAAAGUUAGCUUUUGAUUACUUGAUACUCACAUAAUUUUAGAAAUUUGUUUCAUGACCCCCCUACUUAAUUGUUUAAGAAAGACCCUAGAUAAAUGAAUAUAAUUAUGCUUAAGUCUAAACCAUAUUUCUCGUGGGAUCAACCACAACCUUCUAGUUGGAUUCUUUACCUGAUAACGAUUGAUUAUGCUUUUUGUGGAGGUGUCAUUUGAACAUGUCAAAUUUUUGUGCCGCAGCCAGAGAUGUUUGGCUUUUAGAUUAUGUUUAACGACAUUAUUGAAUUUUAGUCAACUAGUUCUAAAUUUUUUUUCUUUUUUUUUGUUUUUAUUUGUCUCCGGUUCCAACUCUAGUUUAUUCCAAGUACACGGAGUCAAAGAGAAUCACUUACUCCAUAUGAUGCAGAAUUGAAUAUAACAUUGCAGAAAAUGAAUAAACAAGAGGUGACACUUAACCUGAUGGGAGGAGAAUUAGGUGAUGGUUUCAGGUUGUAGCCUCAGAGGGUAGUUGAGGGUAAUGAUCGGUCUCAAGCUGUUAAUUGAUUGGGAUAUGCAUUAAGGAUACAAGAUCCGUAGAAGCCAUGACCCAAAAAUACUACAAGGUCAACUUCAACAUUGCUGACUCUGAUGGACCCCUUGUCCUACCCCCACUACCUCAAGUUUAUACCUAUGUGGAAACUAGUAUUCUAUUACAAAUUCUAACAGCGAGAGGCUUAUUUGAAGGGUUUGUGUCUGAUAACCCUCAUGCGAAGAUACAAAAUCUUAGGGUGGUUUGUAAAAGUUGAGUGGGACGACCAGAUUGGGACAUGGAUGUUAUAGGGAUGCGAGUAUUUCCUCUAUCACUUACCGGAGAUGCAACAAUUUAGACCAGUGUAUUCCUUUACAACUCUAUAUAUACAUGGAACCAAUUGAGUAAAUCAUUCCUAGGAAUGUUUUUUCUAGUGUCCAAGAAGCUGAACAAGAAGGAGAUGCUUACCAAUUUCGUGGCACUACCUGGAUAAGCUUAAUAAUUUUGUGGCACUACUUGGAGCAUCUGUGAGUAUUGCUUGGGAUUGGUUCACCUCUUAUAUCCGAUGUGUCCUAAAUAACAGUAUUGGUUAUGAGUCUCUUAAAGAGUAUUUCUGCAGAGGGCAGGAUGACAACAAUAAGGUGGUACUUGACACUAUUGUUGGGGUUUUAUGGAUAUUGAUCUUCUGAGUAGAUUGUUGAUUAGUUAGAGAAGAUCUCCCGCAACAACAAAUAUUGGAGAACUAGAAAAUGGGAUACUGGGAGAAACAAAUUUGCAAUCCAAGCUACAGGAAACCAAUCCGCAUAUGCCUUACAUGAGGAGAUAGCACAAAGGAGAACAAAGUUGGGGUUUGUAUUGAAACAUGUAUGCGGGGGUGCUAUUAUGAGGAACUAUUUUACUAGAAUUCCACCACUGGCUGAGGAGUGUUAUUAUGAAGAAGAUGUGUAUGGAGUGAAGGAUCAAUCAGGGAGUUUCCAUCCACAUGCCUAGUUUCCAACAUGGAUAAUUGAAGCAUAUCUCUAGAAAAUCAAUGUCAGAACAUUGAAAAUUACAAUCGAGAAAGUUAAUAUGUCUGAGAUGGAAACUACAAUCGCGACAACAACUCGAAAAAGACCAACUAUGGAAACAGAAACAAUCGAGUUGGACCAUAUGUUCCUCCAUAAAAAAGGGACUCUAGUCCUAUAGAAACUAGAGGUAACAUGUCCGAUAAUGUGACUUAGAAAGAGGUUGUGGUCAUAGAGAAAGUGGUUCCCUUGCCUAGGAAUUUCCCCCUAUUCCUCAUAGAUUAGCAAUCAAGACCAAAGAAUGAAAAUUCCACAAGUUAAUCACUAUGCUAAAACAACUUUCAAUCAAUGUUCUGGUGAUAGAAUUUUUAGAGCAAAUGCAUGGGUAUGUAAAGUUUAUGAAGGAAAUGGUUAUAAAGAAGAGAUCUCUGAGUCUUGAAGAUGUCAAAAAGUUGCAACAUUGUACUGCUAUUGCUACAAGAUCCCUUGUACAAAAUGAGUUAGAUCUUAGUGAUUUUAUUAUCCCUUGUACCAUAGGGCUAUUGGAUUUUUCCAAGGCACUAUGUGAUCUUGGUGCUAGCAUUAAUCUUAUGUCAUUGUCCAUUUACAAGACGUAGGGAUUGGGUGAUCAAAAAGCAUCUACGAUGUUGUUGCUCAUUGCGCAUAGAAUUGUGAAGAGGUCUAUUGGAUUUCUCCAUGACUUGCUAGUGAAGGUGGAGUCAUUUAUUUUUCUGUCAAAUGUUGUUACUUCUUGAUUGUGAGGUUGACUUUGAGGUUCAAAUCAUCCUUAGGAGACCAGUCCUUGCCACUUUCCAAUCCUUGCCACGGGGCGCGCUUUUGUUAAUAUGGAGAAAGUACAGAUGAAGUUCAGAAUUAAUAAUGAGGAAGAACCUUUCGACAUUUGUAGGUCCAUGCAGUAGCAUGGUGAGUUCCUAUUGGUAUCUACUAUGACAUAUAAAAGUGAGAGUGGUCUGGAGGUACAAAUCGAUGCGAGACUAAGUGUUGAGGAGUUAGCAACAGUGAUAAAGAACUUUGAGGGUGUUCAUAUCAUAGAGUAUGAUGAGUUCGUUACCAAACUUGAUAGGUAUGAAUGGGCCUAAAACCUAAGAAAUUGGUAAGGGAUAUGAAAAAUCGUGAGACUCUUCCAGCGAGACAAUCUAUGGAAGAGGCACCUAAAUUGGAACUCAAGGCUCUACCACCACAUUUGAGAUAUGUAUUCUUGUGUAAGGAUGAGAAAAUCGCAGUCAUUAUUGCGGUGGAUCCUAAUGGGUGACAAGUCAAGUGAUUGGUAGUACUGCUAAAGAUGUACAAUCAAGCUAUUGGGUGGACUAUUGCGGAUAUUAUCGGGAUUCAUCCCGAUAUUUGCUUUCAUAAAAUUCAAUUCAUGAUGGAUAAUGAGUCUAUUAUUAAGAAUCAGAGAAGAUUAAGUUCUCCUAUACAAUAGGUACUGAAGACGAAGAUUAUCAAAUGGUUGGAUGUUGGAGUCAUCUACCCUAUUGCAGACAAUAGCUUAGUAUGCCCUGUUUAGUCUGUGCUUUGAAAGGGUAGUAUUAUUGUGGUCCCAAAUGAAAUAAGCAACCUUUUUUGAUGCGGUUGGUGACCGGAUGAAGAGUUUGCAUGGAUUAAUGGAAGUUGAAUGAAUGACCAAUUCCCUAUGUCAUUCAUGGAUCAGAUGUUCGAUAGUCUAGCAGGAAAGGGAUGGUACUACUUCUUUGUUGGCUAUUCAGUCUAUAACAAAAUAUCUAUAGCCUUGGAAUCCAAGAGAAAACCACCUUUACUUGCCCCAAUGAGACCUUUCUUUCAAAUGCAUGCUAUUUGGGUUGUGCAAUGCUCCAACAUCCUUCCAACAUUGCAUGAUAUCAAUUUUCUCCGACAAAGUAGAGGACACUAUUGAAGUGUUCAUGGAUAAUUUCCUGGUGUUUGGUGAGUCUUUUGAUAAAUUUUUGGACAAUCUGGCCGAGGUACUGAAAAGGUGUGAAGAUUGCAAUUUGGUGCUCAAUUGGGACAACUGUCACUUUAUGGUUAAAGAGCGCAUAUUUUUGGGGCACCGGAUUUUUGAGAAAGGUAUUGCGGUGGGUAAAGCCAAAGUGGAGAUAAUAGAAAACCAUCCUCCACCUAUCUCAAUAAAAAGCGUGAGAUGUUUUUUGGGGUAUGCAGGUUGCUAUUGGAGGUUCAUAAGAGAUUUUUCAAAAAAUUCAAAUCCAUUGUGCAAGCAUUUUUAAAAGGAGAGUAAUUUUUACUUUGUUGAUGCUUGUCUAAAAGAAUUUGAGAGUUGAAGAAGAAGUUUGUUUUUGACUUCAUCUUUAUUCCUCCAAAUUGGGGGAAACCAUUUGAAGUCACAUGAGAUACAAAUGGGGUGGUGCUUGGCGUGGUAUUGGGCAAAUGCAUGAGAAGAUACUUCACCCCAUUUAUUGUGCAAGCAAAGAUUUAAAUGCAGCUCAAUAGAAUGACACGGUUAUAGAGCAAGAGCUUCUUGCUGUACUGUUUAAAUUCGAGAAAUUUUUCACUUAUUUUCUUGAGAUUAAGGUCAUAGUGCACACGAACCAUUUAGCGUUAAGGUUCUUGAUGGACAAAAAGGAUUAAAAACCACGACUUAUUAUGUGCAUAUUGUUCUGCAAGAAAUUAUUUUGUGGUGAAUGACUGCAAGGGGAUAUAUAAACAAGUUUCCUAUCACUUGCCUAGAUUGGAAGAUUAAGCUUUACUUGAUCUUUGUUAUAAGGGUUAGAUCAAUGAUAUGUUCCCAUAUGAAAAGGCAUUGGCUGCCUCUCAUCAACUCAUUUCUUGGUUAACUGACUUUUCUAAUUAUUUGGCAAGCGAUUUGGUGCCUCCAAAUCUUUCAUCUUACCAAAGGAAGAAGUUUAAGCAUGAUGUAAAAUUUUUUUUGGGAUGAGCCGUACCAGUAUCAUAGUAGUGCUAUUGGCAUUAUUCGUCGAUGUGUGCCUGAGUUUGAAAUGUUGAGUGUUAUUGAGACGUGUAAUUCAUCACCUGUUGGUGGGCAUCAUAGUGGUGUUUAGAAUGUUCACAAAAUUUUGAAAUGUGGAUACUAUAGACCAACCAUUUUCCAAGACUCUCAUGAUUUUGCCAAGUCUUGUGACCGUUGCCAUAUAGUGGAUGGGAUUUCAGAGAGGCAAGAGCUUCUUAUGAACUCAAUCAUGCUAAUAGAGUUAUUUGAUGUAUUCAUCAUCUAUUUUAUGUGGCUGUUUAUUAGUUCAUAUCGGAUGAAGUAUAUUCUUGUUGCGGUUGAGUAUGUAUCGAAGACGGUGGAAACAAUUGUGCUCCCAAACAAUGAAGGCAAGAGUGUCACCGCAUUCGUGAUGAAGAAUGUCUUCUCUUGAUUUUGAACCCCAAUGGUAAUUAUUAGUGAUGGAGGUUCCCACUUUCACAAAAAGUUAUUUAAAACAUUACUUAAGAAAUACGGGGUCGGCUACAAUGUAGUUUCUCCUUACCAUCCACAGACUAGUGGGCAAGUCGAAGUGUCUGACCGAGAGAUAAAGACAACCUUGGCAGAGACAGUGAAUACCAACAGAUGGAUUGGUAGAGGAAGGUUCAAUAUGCUCUAUGGGAUCACCUUAAUAUACUUAAGAGUCUCAUAUAUAUAUUUCUCUAUACUAACUUGUAUAUGGGAAGUCUUGCCAUUUAUCACUAGAGCUAGAGCACGAAGCUGUGUGGGCAAUGAAGAAGCUUAACUUAGAUUGAGGCGCCGGAUCAACUCAAAGGGUGAAUGACUUAAAUUUCCUCGAUGAGCUUCUCCUAAAAGCCUAUGAAUGUGCAUCCUUGUAUAAAGAUAAGAUGAUGAAGUACCAUGAUCAAAGAUUUAAAAACAGAGAUUUUGUACUACUAUUCAACUCUAGGUUGCACUUAUUUCACGACAAGCUUAAGUCCAAAUGGUCCGGACCAUUCUUAAUCAAGCCAGUGUUUCCUAAUGGAGCGGUGAAUCUUGAUAAUAGUGAAGGAAUAAGGUUCAAGGUAAAAAUAGAUGAUUAAGCUUUAUCUGGAAAAAGCGGAAAGUGUUCAACAAGUGAUUGAGGACUAUUAUAUUGAUAAAGUCUGAGCAAUCAAGAGGCUUGCCUGUGCCGCGACGUUAAAUCAAGUGCUGGUUUGGAGGAAAACAAAGGUAUAAAAUAUAUCCAACCAUAGGUUUACUAUUUCUGUCAAGUAGUUUUCCUUUAAUUAUUUGAUUUAUUGUAGCGGAGUAUUUAGUUGUUAAUUUUUGGUUUUUGUGUUGCCUAGAUAUAACGUAGGGUCCAUAUCUAAAAAGCUUCUAGAAAAAACAAAGAGAAUUCCCUAAUGGUUGCUACAUGUGUACGGGCAUAAGGAAAAACUUCAGGUGCAUAGGUCUAUGGAUCCCAUCGAUGGUUUGUCCUUUAACCCACGCAUCGUGAAUGAUGUCCGUAGAUCCAGGUAAGCUUCCUAAUUAUUCUAAGUCAUAGAGAUAUCUAUAAUACUAGUCGACUGACCAUAGAUCGACACACAGACCGUCAGCAGGGUCUUGUAGGUCCAAACCCUUGAUUGAAUAACCCGACCCAAACUCCAAAUUUUGAAAUCACAGUCUUCAAAUUCUUUCCCUCCUCCUUCAUUUCAAUUACCCAAAAGUGUUUCAAAACAUCAAAACACCUCAAAUCACUCUCCAAUCACCCAUUAAUCCCUCACAAUAAAAUUCCCAAUUCCUUCCUUGCAUAAAUCAUUUAACUCCAAGUGCUCUAAAAUACCCAUUCUCAAACAUUCGAUUUUAGGGCUCGGUACAAUUAGGUGUAUUAUCUUCCAUCGAAAAAAGUUUGUUAUCAUCACACAAUCACACCACUUCUCAAUACAUGUACCCUCACUUUGAAUUUCGGUUCAUCUAUUGAAGUUUGAAAUUAGGGAGUUGGUUCUUGGCCUUGUUAUUAUUUUAAAAAAACCAUGCUAAAAUAAACUUGAAAAUACCCUUCAGAUGACAGAUUGUGAUUAUGUUCAUUUGUAGUAGACGAAUAUCUGUGUUAUAUUUGUCUAAAUGUAAGUUCAGACAUACGUUGUCACACUAUGUAUGAACUAUGUGCCGAGAAUAUUUUGAACUAUAAGAAUUACCAAGUAGCAAGGUCAAAUGUUGAAAUGCAUGCUUUGACUAGACCGUGUAAAUACAAAAAUGGUAUUCAUGAAGUAGUAAUUAGAAGCAUGUCUAUGUUUUAUUAAGGAUUUUUUUUUAUUUGAGACUGUUUUAGAGUCGUCACUUAUUUUUUGAGGAAAAACCAAGAAAAUUGAUUUUGCAAAAUAUUAAAAGAGAAAAUCAUUUGAAAAUGUUUAAGGGGGUUCGUGGUUUCCUAUUAGAGAUUUAGGAAGGGUUUCCAAGGCUUCUAAAACACCCACUAAUGUGAUUAUCUAACAAUUAAUUUGCUUGGCAUAAAUAUUUUAACUUAAUCAUAAUAAAAAAUUAUUUGGGAAUCCCUUAAAAAUGUGAAAUAUCAACCUACUAUCUGAGUGAGUUUUACCUUGUAGAAUUAAUUAUCUUUUUAAAUCUAUUCAGACUUGAUUAAUUUAGUUUGAAUAGUUAAAACAUAAAUGCGUCUUGCGAGGGAUUGUAAGUUUUAACCCUAAAACUCAUGACAAUUACUAAUAAGCAAAUAACCGAUAAAGUGUGUGUGUGUGUGUGUGUGUGUGUGUGAGAGAGAGAGAGAGAGAGAGAGAGAGUAGGGUGCAAAUUUUGUUCGUGUCCGCCUGGACUGUUAUUUAGUCCCAUUUUAUUUUGGGUCUUAAGCCUAUUUGAUUUGGUACCUGUCCUAGAAUUCUAACAAUACAAUAGUGACAAAAGAGACAAGGGCUUAGGCCCAAAAAUAACAAGAUACAGAAUUUAGAAAAUAAAUUUGGGCUUCUUGGCCAAAAAUCAUCAACUUCUUGGCAUGUUUUAAAUUUUUCUGAAUUCUGGACCUUUAUGUACAUUUUUGAGGUGUACAAAUACCAAAAUAAGGAAUUGGGCCUCGGUGGCCCUAUAGGAUAGUGCAAGAAACAAAUAAUCAUGAAGCCCAUGGGAGAUUUCACAUGCAAACAAAGGGUAAUAAAGUGAGUAACAAAUCGUGAUUCAAAGUGAGCAAAUGUCUACUAAAGGUAAAUAUAUGACAUCAUAUUCAAUUAUAAACAGAAUAAAGAAACAUAGAAGCCUUAAGACAACCAAAGCAAUAGUCCAAGAUUGAGAAAACACAAAUAUUCAGGAAUAUAUAAAAAUAUUGCUUUAUCCAAAAAUUUCACACUAAGAAAAUAUGAAAGCCCACUACUGACUUGAUGACUUUCAAUGAAUCAUGCACACUAAACAAUAGUAGAACAGUUUGUGUAAAAAAGUAAACAUUUUGAUAAUAACUAUCAACAAAAAUGAAAAAGAGGUCAACAUUUUCUAGACAUGUUCUUCCCAACAUGAAUGGAUAUCACCAAACUCAAAAAAAAUAAAAUAAAAGAAUGAUAUGACGUUACGAAUAGCUAAAAAUCGUAGAACAACCUGCAUUAACUACAAUUCAACUUUAUAAUUACAAAGUAAUAUGCAUAAACUGUUGUUUCUCCUCAAUCGAUAAUAACUCAAAAUACCUAAGAAUGAUACAUAGUGUACUCCAACAGGCUUAAGAAAAGGGGGAAAAAUUACAUGACAUUAAUACAAAGUUUUUUAUUUUUAUAAGAAAAACAAUUUGUACUGAACAUGUCACUAGAGAAAACAACACAAGUACAACAAGAAAAAAUAAGAUGCAAACUUCAUAUUUUCCGCAACUUUGGGUAAGAAAAUGAAGACAAGAAUAUAACUACUAGCUUAAAUGCACAAGACAAAGACAAUAUUCGGAUUGCAAGCAUAACUACAAGCCUCAUGAGAUAUUCUAAUACUAAUUUAGAAUCGGCCAACGCAUAGUAGAAAUGAUAAAAGAGGUCACUAAAACAUGAGUAAACAGUGCAGAAGUCCAAACAACUAAACAUCCAAAGUCACAACCAAAUGCAUCAACUAUUUCACUUCCAUUUAUAUUUCAUAUUUGAUAGUCCUAAGAACUCACAGGAGAAACUAAACUUAAAACGAAAUAAUAAUAUGGAGAAAAUAACUAAUCUUAAUAAAUGGACUCCGCUAAACAUCAUAGGAAAAGAAUACAGAAAGAUGAGGUUACCUUUUUCUGCGCAAAAAAAUUGACACAGUGACGAAGCAGGGAAACCAGCUCCUCCAAACAAGCACGGACGCGAGCAACAGUAAAGAACCAAGUAAAAUCUCUUAUCGCGAAUGAAACUGAAAAAAAAUAUGACAAAAUGACUUAGAAAUUUUAAGCUUCGAUCGAGAGUAAAUCACUUCUACCUUGAAAGUAUUUUUGUGUAUUUUAGCCAUUUGGCUUAAGAUAUUUUUUGGUGUGUGUUUGAUUCAAGGAAUGAUCCAAGUAAAAAUCUCCAAUUCAAAAAUUACCAACCAUUUUCUAAAAAAAAAUUACCCCCUUUAACUGUGAACCAAUAACGAUUAUAUAUCAAACUGGGAUUAGGGUUUUUGAAAUAAAAGGGAGGGGGGAGCAGAUGAUAUUUUUUGGACAAAUACCAUACCAAUUAAAAUUUCAAAACUCAAAAUUUAUCCCAUUUAGGCUUAAAACCUUUUCCAAAAUCUUCGACCCCAUUUCAUAAGAGGAAGGGGGAUGCACUCUUAAGAUGCAUUACCAUGUCCUUGGCGUCGACGUGCAUUCAUCUCAUUGUUGCAAGGAUGAAAACACAACUGGAUUUUUGCUGCAAGUACGAGUUGAGAGCGACAUUUAUAGAAGACGACAAUGGCAUCUGGUUUGCUUUGUUUUUACGCAUGUGUAGGCGAAGCACGCCAUUUCUCUAAUUUGCUUUGAUGCAUUUUCUAGAUCUAUUGAUUUGUGAAGGGAGAAUGGAUGUGGGUUGGGUCAAGUGUGGAAAGAGUGGGCUGGGUAUUUUGAAUUUGGAAAAUGGAUUGGGAUUAGGGUUUUUGAAAUAAAAGGGAGGGGGGAGCAGAUGAUAUUUUUUGGACAAAUACCAUACCAAUUAAAAUUUCAAAACUCAAAAUUUAUCCCAUUUAGGCUUAAAACCUUUUCCAAAAUCUUCGACCCCAUUUCAUAAGAGGAAGGGGGAUGCACUCUUAAGAUGCAUUACCAUGUCCUUGGCGUCGACGUGCAUUCAUCUCAUUGUUGCAAGGAUGAAAACACAACUGGAUUUUUGCUGCAAGUACGAGUUGAGAGCGACAUUUAUAGAAGACGACAAUGGCAUCUGGUUUGCUUUGUUUUUACGCAUGUGUAGGCGAAGCACGCCAUUUCUCUAAUUUGCUUUGAUGCAUUUUCUAGAUCUAUUGAUUUGUGAAGGGAGAAUGGAUGUGGGUUGGGUCAAGUGUGGAAAGAGUGGGCUGGGUAUUUUGAAUUUGGAAAAUGGAUUGGGAUUAGGGUUUUUGAAAUAAAAGGGAGGGGGGAGCAGAUGAUAUUUUUUGGACAAAUACCAUACCAAUUAAAAUUUCAAAACUCAAAAUUUAUCCCAUUUAGGCUUAAAACCUUUUCCAAAAUCUUCGACCCCAUUUCAUAAGAGGAAGGGGGAUGCACUCUUAAGAUGCAUUACCAUGUCCUUGGCGUCGACGUGCAUUCAUCUCAUUGUUGCAAGGAUGAAAACACAACUGGAUUUUUGCUGCAAGUACGAGUUGAGAGCGACAUUUAUAGAAGACGACAAUGGCAUCUGGUUUGCUUUGUUUUUACGCAUGUGUAGGCGAAGCACGCCAUUUCUCUAAUUUGCUUUGAUGCAUUUUCUAGAUCUAUUGAUUUGUGAAGGGAGAAUGGAUGUGGGUUGGGUCAAGUGUGGAAAGAGUGGGCUGGGUAUUUUGAAUUUGGAAAAUGGAUUGGGA
rnacentral:lncRNA from 1 species